GUCUGGUUUCAGGGUUGUUAACGAUAUACUACAGUGUGGCUAACGUUUUAACACUGUUUGUCUAAUGGCAUUUGUCUAUAUUGACAAAUCCCGUUACAGUUCAAGAAUAACGUGCAACAUAAUGUUCGUAUAGUAAUAUGAACAUUACUGAAUGAUAUGAAUCUAUUAUCACUGUUUGAAUGUACUCAAUGAAUAUGAGAUUGAUUUAAACAGGGACAUGUUGGAGAUAGUAGUAUUCAAUAUCAUUUGUAUUGCAACCUGAGCUCAGGCGUGAUUACCCGCUGAACUUAAGCAUAUCAUUUAGCGGA
rnacentral:rRNA from 1 species